AGGUCAGGUGUCCAUGUAGUUCUCCAGUUGAGCCAUGCCAAAUACAUUUUGGGUCUGUGGGGUUGGCUGUGAUAGCUGUGCUCCAGGCUGCAGGUCAAGUUCAGAUCUGUUCCUGUGGCUUUCCUUUUGGGGGCCAGGAACCUUCAGCCUUCAGGAAAGCCAUCAUAUAUGUGCACUGCCUUGAGAAGAAUCGUUUGCCUGAACUGAUAAAGAAGAAAAAGCCAAUAUUCUUUUGCUUCAUGGUGAGGCAGAGAGGAAGAGUGAGUAAAGUA
rnacentral:lncRNA from 1 species